GCUCUCAGUGGUGUAGUGGUAGUACGCUCCUCCGGUGUGGAUGAAACGUGGGUUCAACUCCCGUCUGAGGUC